CGUCCUACGGGACGCAGCAGUGGGGAAUAUUGGGCAAUGGGCGCAAGCCUGACCCAGCAACGCCGCGUGAGGGAAGAAGGCUUUCGGGUUGUAAACUUCUUUUAUCAGGGACGAAGCAAGUGACGGUACCUGAUGAAUAAGCCACGGCUAACUACGUGCCAGCAGCCGCGGUAAUACGUAGGUGGCAAGCGUUAUCCGGAUUUACUGGGUGUAAAGGGCGUGUAGACGGCUGUGCAAGUCUGAUGUGAGAUCUAUGGGCUCAACCCACAGCCUGCUUUUGAAACUGUACUUCUGGAGUGC
rnacentral:rRNA from 1 species